rnacentral:rRNA from 1 species
AGCGAACGCUGGCGGCAGGCCUAACACAUGCAAGUCGAACGAAGUCUUCGGACUUAGUGGCGGACGGGUGAGUAACACGUGGGAACGUGCCUUUAGGUUCGGAAUAACUCAGGGAAACUUGUGCUAAUACCGAAUGUGCCCUUCGGGGGAAAGAUUUAUCGCCUUUAGAGCGGCCCGCGUCUGAUUAGCUAGUUGGUGAGGUAAAGGCUCACCAAGGCGACGCCCAGUAGCUGGUCUGAGAGGAUGAUCAGCCACAUUGGGACUGAGACACGGCCCAAACUCCUACGGGAGGCAGCAGUGGUGAAUCUUGCGCAAUGGGCGAAAUCCUGACGCAGCCAUGCCGCGUGAAUGAUGAAGGUCUUAGGAUUGUAAAAUUCUUUCACCGGGGACGAUAAUGACGGUACCCGGAGAAGAAGCCCCGGCUAACUUCGUGCCAGCCGCCGCCGUAACAC